GCUACAGGCUUAACACAUGCAAGUCGAGGGGCAGCGGGAUUGAAGCUUGCUUCAAUUGCCGGCGACCGGCGCACGGGUGAGUAACGCGUAUCCAAUCUUCCGUACACUCAGGGAUAGCCUUUCGAAAGAAAGAUUAAUACCUGAUGGUAUGAUGAGAUUGCAUGAUAGCAUCAUUAAAGAUUUAUCGGUGUACGAUGGGGAUGCGUUCCAUUAGGUAGUAGGCGGGGUAACGGCCCACCUAGCCAACGAUGGAUAGGGGUUCUGAGAGGAAGGUCCCCCACAUUGGAACUGAGACACGGUCCAAACUCCUACGGGAGGCAGCAGUGAGGAAUAUUGGUCAAUGGACGAGAGUCUGAACCAGCCAAGUAGCGUGAAGGAUGAAGGUCCUACGGAUUGUAAACUUCUUUUAUAAGGGAAUAAACCCUCCCACGUGUGGGAGCUUGUAUGUACCUUAUGAAUAAGCAUCGGCUAACUCCGUGCCAGCAGCCGCGGUAAUACGGAGGAUGCGAGCGUUAUCCGGAUUUAUUGGGUUUAAAGGGAGCGCAGACGGGUCGUUAAGUCAGCUGUGAAAGUUUGGGGCUCAACCUUAAAAUUGCAGUUGAUACUGGCGUCCUUGAGUGCGGUUGAGGUGUGCGGAAUUCGUGGUGUAGCGGUGAAAUGCUUAGAUAUCACGAAGAACUCCGAUUGCGAAGGCAGCACACUAAUCCGUAACUGACGUUCAUGCUCGAAAGUGUGGGUAUCAAACAGGAUUAGAUACCCUGGUAGUCCACACGGUAAACGAUGGAUACUCGCUGUUGGCGAUAUACUGUCAGCGGCUUAGCGAAAGCGUUAAGUAUCCCACCUGGGGAGUACGCCGGCAACGGUGCAACUCAAAGGAAUUGACGG
rnacentral:rRNA from 1 species